AGGACAAACAUUGACGAAUGUCGGGGGGAAUCGCGGCAUAUCGCGGCAGUUGCAGUUGAAGUAGCAGUGCCGCCGCCGUUUUAUUUUAAUUGCCCUGUUGUGUUUUUACAGAUAGGACCAGGUUGUCGGCGCGACCGCGCGGACUGUCUGGACUAGAAGCAUUUCAGCGUGGCGCGAUAGUGUUCUUAUCGAACGGACCAAGUACACCGAUGACAUGACACACAAGAUCUUAUCGGAGAAGGGAGUGAAAGAAUGUUGUGUGGUGUUUUAAGGUUGUUCAAGUCCUAAAGAGGAAGGCAUUUAUUACACCCAUCAGCCUGCCAUGUUCAUUAGUGCAAUCGCCAUUUUUAUGCACUUUUAAUCCGCCACGGAGCGGCUUACCAGCAUCCCGCUAUUUCUCGCUGCAUAGAAAAGUGCAAAAGGAAACUAAUACCACAUUUUAUUCGUACGAUCAUCUCCACGAUCUAAUCCACUUCUACGUACACGCACAUCGCGAUCAAGUAUGCACGCAACGUCAAGCGCACGGGAGCUCUAGCAGCAUUAGCCUCAGCAGCAGCCUCGCAUUAAAACGAGUUCCUGAACGAUAGCACUCGACGACCUGGGUUAGUGAACUCUUGCUCUCCUUUCGAAGCCUAGCCCAAACGGGGGAGAAAUUGUUUCGCUUUUUGCCAUCCUUCUUCCCUAAUUCCCGGCCUCGUCUAAUGCAUGAUGUGCUCCACCCGCACUGCCGUGGCCGUCAGCCCGUCGAGAGCCUUAGGACUAACGUUCAACAUGUACAGCAAGCAUCAAACCACUCACCUCCCAGGCUCGGACAGUUGUCAGAGCCCUUCGAGAGUCGGGUCGGAGGCGGAGGUUUGGUAGUAAAUUCCUUCCCCGGGCUCUCCGGCACACACACACAAAAAGGGCUACGGCCACUAGUUCACCGCUAAUAGUACAAUGCCGGGGCAGACGACGGCAUCCGCGAGCUGUAUGUAUGCUAUCCCGACAUUCGGCAGAGCCGGGAGAAGAGCCGGUAACCCGCUGGCGGUGAAAUAAUCUAAGGCAAAAAAUUAUCCAGCCACGCCAAAGUCUGACCAAAGACCGAAAUAAUAAUAAUAAAACAAGGGGCGGUGAGGGAGAAAACGUUAAACGCAAAACGCGAACUGUGCGCGACAUGACGACGAACUCGUGGGGUCCUGAAGAGGAAAGAACUGGAGAGUUGAAGGGGUUGGAGAGCAUCUGGACGGUGAACGAAUGCGAAACAAAAUGCUCUUUCAGCCCACUGACAGGCCGCGCUGUACGUGCGGUGUGAUCGUUGUCCGGAUCUUUCGCUCGAUCGGCACAAUGGGACGUGUAGAUCAAGAAUUUGCAUCUUGGAUGACUUCUUGAAUAUCUUCAAACCUUAAAUCGGAUCUUCAAAAAUCUUGGAGAAAUGAUAUUGUUGCUAUUGUAGGUGAUCUUAAGCCUUAAUCAACCUUUUUUUGGAGUAGAAGUACCUCGAAGAUCUCAUCUUUCUCCAUAACUUGAAUUCUUUCACAAACGCAAUAAAGUCUCUCCUCAGUUUUGACCCUCUCAA